rnacentral:rRNA from 1 species
AUACGUAGGGAGCGAGCGUUGUCCGGAAUUACUGGGCGUAAAGGGUGCGUAGGUGGCUUGGCAAGUCAGAUGUGAAAUCCCCGGGCUUAACUCGGGAUCUGCAUUUGAAACUGCUUGGCUUGAGUGCAGGAGAGGAAAGCGGAAUUCCUAGUGUAGCGGUGAAAUGCGUAGAUAUUAGGAGGAACACCAGUGGCGAAGGCGGCUUUCUGGACUGUAACUGACACUGAGGCACGGAAGCGUGGGGAGC